UCAGAGCCCGAUCUAUGGGUGAUGGCGUGCCUUUUGUAGAAUGAACCGGCGAGUUACGUUUAACAUGCAAGGUUAAGUCGAGAAGACGGAGCCGCAGCGAAAGCGAGUCUGAAUAGGGCGAUGUAGUAUGUGGACGUAGACCCGAAACCGUGUGAUCUACCCCUGUCCAGGGUGAAGGUGCGGUAACACGCACUGGAGGCCCGAACCCACGUACGUUGAAAAGUGCGGGGAUGAGGUGGGGGUA
rnacentral:rRNA from 1 species